AACGAACGCUGGCGGCAUGCCUAACACAUGCAAGUCGAACGAGACCUUCGGGUCUAGUGGCGCACGGGUGCGUAACGCGUGGGAACCUGCCCUUAGGUUCGGAAUAACUCCCCGAAAGGGGUGCUAAUACCGGAUAAUGUCUUCGGACCAAAGAUUUAUCGUCUUUGGAUGGGCCCGCGUUGGAUUAGCUAGUUGGUAGGGUAAAAGCCUACCAAGGCGACGAUCCAUAGCUGGUCUGAGAGGAUGAUCAGCCACACUGGGACUGAGACACGGCCCAGGCUCCUACGGGAGGCAGCAGUGGGGAAUAUUGGACAAUGGGCGAAAGCCUGAUCCAGCAAUGCCGCGUGAGUGAUGAAGGCCUUAGGGUUGUAAAGCUCUUUUACCCGGGAUGAUAAUGACAGUACCGGGAGAAUAAGCUCCGGCUAACUCCGUG
rnacentral:rRNA from 1 species